UCUUCUUCUUCUUCUUCUUCAGUUAUGUUGCACAAGUUUCUUCUGGUGAAGUUAUGAUAAACGAUUGGAAGAUUGCAAGCGGAGAAAGUAAUUUUUUAUGGUUACGUGAAUCAUACACCAGUUGUUCGUUGAAAGUCCUAGAAGAAAGACGCGUUGCUUGUUUCAGACCAAGAAGGGUAGGCUUUUACUUGCAAAAGUAUGCAUACCAACAAAUCUAAGAAUUUUUUAUGUUCUAUGUACUCCGCAGUUUCGCAUAAUCAAGUGCCACUCGAGCUGCAGGAGAUGUGCAAAGUUAUUUCCACAUCUAUUGGUAGUUUAGACGAUUUGGAAUCUAGUCUAGAUGGAUUUAGAGUUUCUUUGACAUCACCUCUUGUUACUCAAAUCAUGGAUUCUUGCAAACACGAGGCUCCAACUAGAAGACUGUUAAGAUUUUUUCUGUGGUCGAAUAAAAGACUGGUUUCUGAGAUGAAAAAUGAAGAUUUUAAUCAUGCAAUUCGAGUUUUGGCAGAGAAGAAGGAUCAUACAGCAAUGCAAAUUUUAAUUUCAGAUUUAAGGAAGGAGGGUCGUGUGAUGGAGGCACAAACUUUUGGUCUUAUAGCUGAGACAUUGGUUAAAAUAGGUAGAGAAGAUGAGGCAUUGGGUAUAUACAAGAACUUGGACAAGUUCAAGUGCCCUCGAGAUAGUAAAACUGUCACUGCCAUUGUCAGUGCUCUUUGUGCCGAAGGUCAUGCUAAGAAAGCAUAUGGGGUGUUUUGGCAUCACAAGGAUUUGUUAUCAGAGGUCAAGCCUUGCAUUUAUAGAAGUCUUUUAUAUGGGUGGUCAAUGCUGGAGAAUGUGAAGGAAGCACGAAAGAUUAUCAAAGAGAUGAAGGGGGAUGGGAUAAUGCCGGAUCUGUUUUGUUUUAAUACAUUUCUCAAGUGCCUAUGUGAGAGAAAUCUCAAACGCAAUCCAUCAGGACUUGUGCCUGAAGCUUUGAAUGUGAUGAUGGAAAUGAGAUCUUACAGGAUAGAGCCAAACUCAAUUAGUUAUAAUAUUUUGCUUUCUUGUCUUGGAAGGGCAAGAAGAGUCCAGGAAUCUUGUAGGAUGCUUGAGCUAAUGAAAAAAUCAAAUUGUGCUCCUGACUGGGUUAGCUAUUAUCUUGUUGUAAAAGUAUUGUAUUUGACUGGGAGAUUUGGUAAAGGGAUUAAGAUAGUGGAUGAGAUGAUUGCAGCGGGCUUGGUCCCGGAUCAUAAAUUUUACUAUGACUUAAUUGGUGUUCUUUGUGGAGUUGAGAGGGUGAAUUUUGCUCUCGAGUUGUUUGAGAGAAUGAAAAGAAGCACAAUAGGUGGUUAUGGGCCAGUAUAUGAUGUGCUGAUACCUAAACUUUGUACAGAGGGGAACUUCGAGAAGGGUAAAGAGCUAUGGGAUGAGGCCAUGGCCAUGGAUGUCACUCUUUGCUGCUCAAUUGAUGUGCUGGAUCCCUCAAUUACCAAGAUUUUCAAGCCAACAAGGAAGGUGGAGGAAGAGGUCAGGCUUCAGAAUUGCAUCACAGCCAACAUUCCUAAGACUCAAGCACAAGUUAGCAAGACUAGGAGAAACGUAAACAAGAAAAUGGAAAGUAAGAAGAGACAGAAGAAAUCUGCUUCAAGAUAACUGGUAACUUAUAAUGCUUUAUUCCAGCUGCGACACUUUAUCCAUGUUCUUAACUUCAGUCAUUAAAAGAGUAAAUUAUUUCCUGCAUCAUUUUUCAGACUAAUUUCAUAAUACAUGUAAACACACGUGUCAAGCAAUCUGUCAAAUUUUAGACGAGGUUGGUUCAUAUUGUCCCUAUUAAUUCACUUAACUGGUUUAUUUCUUGAUGUGCCCAGUUGGCAAUUCCACUGAUGUGUCUCAGAAUUAUAAAAUUUAGCAUGUCCCCUAUUUGCAACAGUAUUUAAUGUUUAUCCAAAAGGAUUACUGCCUGAAGCCAAAUAGGUAUGAGUGGCUGAAGAUUUUC
rnacentral:misc_RNA from 1 species